rnacentral:rRNA from 1 species
UUAACGCUGAGGUGUGAUGACGAGGCACUACGGUGCUGAAGUGAUAAAUGCCCUGCUUCCAGGAAAAGCCUCUAAGCAUCAGGUAACACGAAAUCGUACCCCAAACCGACACAGGUGGUCAGGUAGAGAAUACCAAGGCGCUUGAGAGAACUCGGGUGAAGGAACUAGGCAAAAUGGUGCCGUAACUUCGGGAGAAGGCACGCUGAUGUGUAGGUGAAGUCCCUGCGGACGGAGCUGAAAUCAGUCGAAGAUACCAGCUGGCUGCAACUGUUUAUUAAAAACACAGCACUGUGCAAACACGAAAGUGGACGUAUACGGUGUGACGCCUGCCCGGUGCCGGAAGGUUAAUUGAUGGGGUUAGCGGCAACGCGAAGCUCUUGAUCGAAGCCCCGGUAAACGGCGGCCGUAACUAUAACGGUCCUAAGGUAGCGAAAUUCCUUGUCGGGUAAGUUCCGACCUGCACGAAUGGCGUAAUGAUGGCCAGGCUGUCUCCACCCGAGACUCAGUGAAAUUGAACUCGCUGUGAAGAUGCAGUGUACCCGCGGCAAGACGGAAAGACCCCGUGAACCUUUACUAUAGCUUGACACUGAACACUGGUCCUUGAUGUGUAGGAUAGGUGGGAGGCUUUGAAGCGUGGACGCCAGUCUGCGUGGAGCCAACCUUGAAAUACCACCCUUUAAUGGCUGGUGUUCUAACGUAGACCCGUAAUCCGGGUUGCGGACAGUGUCUGGUGGGUAGUUUGACUGGGGCGGUCUCCUCCCAAAGAGUAACGGAGGAGCACGAAGGUUGGCUAAUCCUGGUCGGACAUCAGGAGGUUAGUGCAAUGGCAUAAGCCAGCUUGACUGCGAGCGUGACGGCGCGAGCAGGUGCGAAAGCAGGUCAUAGUGAUCCGGUGGUUCUGAAUGGAAGGGCCAUCGCUCAACGGAUAAAAGGUACUCCGGGGAUAACAGGCUGAUACCGCCCAAGAGUUCAUAUCGACGGCGGUGUUUGGCACCUCGAUGUCGGCUCAUCACAUCCUGGGGCUGAAGUAGGUCCCAAGGGUAUGGCUGUUCGCCAUUUAAAGUGGUACGCGAGCUGGGUUUAGAACGUCGUGAGACAGUUCGGUCCCUAUCUGCCGUGGGCGCUGGAGAAUUGAGGGGGGCUGCUCCUAGUACGAGAGGACCGGAGUGGACGCAUCACUGGUGUUCGGGUUGUCAUGCCAAUGGCACUGCCCGGUAGCUAAAUGCGGAAGAGAUAAGUGCUGAAAGCAUCUAAGCACGAAACUUGCCCCGAGAUGAGUUCUCCCUGAGACCUUGAGUCUCCUGAAGGAACGUUGAAGACGACGACGUUGAUAGGUCGGGUGUGUAAGCGCAGCGAUGCGUUGAGCUAACCGAUACUAAUGAACCGUGAGGCUUAACCUUACAACGCCGAAGCUGUU